CCUGUUGACAAUACUAUCACUAUUUAUAGCUAUAGAACGUUCCCCCAGCCCCCAGCCUGUUGUACUGACGUGGCCUUAGCUGUUGACGCAACCUUUCCAUCUUGUUACAUCUGGUCUUUCAAAAGAAUUGAAACACUGACAAAAUGCGUCAACUCAAAGGAAAAGUAAAAGAAACAAGAAAAGAGAAAAGGGAGCGAAAGACUGAAAAUCUUGAAAAUAAAAGUAACCUUUGGAAAGUCACCAUACCAGUGCUCACUGGUCUAUUUCUACUUAUAGGUUUGUUUGUUUAUGUGAACACCAGGCCAAAGCAGAAUGCCAUAUAUGAUGAAUGAAUCUGACAGAAACGUUGCAUUUGUUAUUUUUAUUAUAUUAUAAUGUAUAAAGGGUGGUGCAAUGGGUAAUGCAGAAAAUACCAUGUCUAUCUGAUGUUUCCCUCUUAAGCAUAGAUUCCCACAUUUUUUAUUUUUACUCAUUUCAUUCCCAAGCGUGUUAGAGCGUGUAAUGGUCUGAUUUUUCCUUAUAUGACUCUCAAUUGUAGAUUCCCAUAUUUUUUUAUUUUACAUUUUUUUUUUUACUCAUUUCCUUCCCGAGCGUAUCAUAGUGUGUAACAUGCAAACUGGUUUGUUUGUUUUCUGUAGGUUUUUUUCUGAAAAUAUGUCUCAUAAUGUCUUUUUGGUUAAAAAUCCUGUAGCAGAGACCGACAUACAUGUUGCUUCUCUACUACAUUUACUUGUAAAUUUUGAAUAGAUAGGCUAUAUAAAUGUAUUAUUUAAAUGUAAAUGGAGGAGACAGGGACCAUUCUGUGAUUCUGACUAGUCAGGACUACAUGUUCAGGUUCAAUUUUAAAAAAAACAGCCUGACCAAUGCUCAAAGUAGUCAAAGAUCAAUGUUCAACAAAAGUAAAAGUGAAUUUAAACCGCUGAGGCAGCGGCCGAAAAAAAAAGCCAAUGAAGCAGACAUCUAGAAAUGAAUUUCUGUCAAUUACUUUAAUAAUUUGAUUGCUACCUAA